rnacentral:rRNA from 1 species
AUGCCCUCCACCUCAUCUCUUGACGCCGCCGGAGGGAGCUUCUUCCCAUGCCCUCCAUCUCAUCUCUUACCACCGGCCGGAGGGAGCUCCGCGCUCUCCUGCAGUACACCGCUCCUCUUUCGCCAAGGCGACAAAAAUCACGAAACGGGGACACACCAUAUGGCCAGGGGCUCGUCCAUCGCUGCUUGGUUCAUCGGUGGCGGUGUUGGCAUUGAAGGAUGGGGCGGCAAUGCCAUUGGAGUCUUGAAAAAGCAGCUCGGGCAGAGGAAGAGGACGCGCCCGGCGUCGGAGGAGGCUGGGCGGGAGACGAUUGUUCUGUUGCAGGUACGUGAACAGGCUGUCUAG